UCCCUGGUGGCUCAGAGGUUAAAGCGUCUGCCUGCAAUGCAGGGGACCUGGGUUUGAUCCCUGGGUUGGGAA
rnacentral:tRNA from 1 species